rnacentral:rRNA from 1 species
AUGGAUCUCCCAGAUCUCAACUUCACUCCACCUGUAGAAGAUGUGGAUGAAAUGGACGAAGAUGCAGGAGAGCGAAUGGAAGGAGAUGAAAUUGUUCAAGAUCCAGGAGAGCGAAUGGAAGGAGAUGAAAUUGUUCAAGAUCCAGGUGUUGGGCAAGUUGCUAGGAAAUAUAAAACCCUCAAUGACCAGCAAAAAUUUGCUGCUUAUGUAGCAAUGCAUACACUGUGUAUGAGUAGAGGAGGCACUUUUUUGGGAACUGACAAGCAAGACAUUGCAAAUUUUUUCGGAGUGGGUGUUUGGAGUAUCCAAAGAAUUUGGAGAAAAGCAAUGAGGCAAAUUAGCGAAGGUAAAGAGGUGGAUGUUUCUAAUCAAAAAAAAGGAAAUUCUGGAAGAAAGCCUAAGGACAUUAAUCUAGAAAAAAUCCUAACGAUCCCAUUAAACAAAAGGUCUACCAUUAGGUCACUUGCUUGGCAACUGGGGUGUAGCCCUACCACACUUCAUAGAAAGUUCAUGUUAAACUUGAUAAGGAGGCAUACAAACUGCGUGAAGCCAGCUCUAAAGGACCAGAAUAAGAAGGAUAGGAUGAAAUUUUGUUUGUCGAUGCUUGAUGAGGCAACAACAGCAACACCAAGGCCUAAGUUCAAGACUAUGCAUAAUGUUGUCCAUAUUGACAAGAAGUGGUUCAACAUGACCAAGAAGAAUAGAACCUAUUAUCUGCUGGACGGGGAGGAAGAGCCUACAAGGCCUAUACAUGGCAACUGUAUUGGAAAGGUGAUGUUCUUGACGACCGUUGCUAGGCCGAGGUGGGACAGUGAAGGAAACGUGACCUUCUCUGGGAAAAUCGGUAUCUGGCCAUUCGUGAAAGAAGUUCCUGCUCAAAGGAGAAGCGACAACAGGCCCAGAGGUACAAUAGAGACAAAAUCAAUAAAGGUCGACAGAAAAGUGAUGAGGGAGUUCCAGAUAGAGAAGGUCUUGCCAGCAAUAUGA